GAAAACAAUCUCCCAUUUUUUCCACUUUAAAUAACUACUUCUAUUGGGGAGGGCUCUUUCUGGCGUGUUGGUGGUGAAAGUGGUGGAAGGGGCGAGGGGGGCGAGUUCAGAACUUUGCCUGCACUGGGAGGGUGGGAGGACCUGGGAGGGAGGAACAAAAGUGGUUUUGUUUGGUGAUGCCGAGUUGACCGGGCAGCCCUGGAAGCCCUCACCCGGGAAGGCAGCGAGCUGUUUGCUUGUUUACAGAGAAGUUUCAUCUGUACAAAAAAAGGAGCUCUGGUAUCUUCUGCUGAGACUUUCAGUAGAAAAUCCUUCAAAAGAGAGAAGAAAGAAAAGAAAGAGAGCUAUUUUGAAAGCCGACUUUCUAAAAUUAUAUUUAGAUAGCUUUCUCCGUGCCAUGGGAAGCAUGGCUCCUAGUAGCUUUGGUUUCUCAUCUCAUCCUAGCAGCCCUUUUACUAGCAAAGAAAGAAGAUUUCUUCCGCUUUGGCUCCAGCCUGUAAACAAUCUCAAGAAUGACUUGCAUUGGAUCAACAGAGGUUGCAUACUCCUUCCCAAACCAAACACCAAGCCAGGAAGAUGGGCUUUAGGAAGGUGAGCAUGGUGAGCUUGGGUGCCAUAUUUUGAAGUGUUGGAGCCACAAAAUGGAAGAAGGCUGGAUCCCUGCAGAUUUCUGGGAGAAGGGUCAGGAACCAAUCAGGACCAUCUGUGUUAGACUUUAAGCGAACAAGAGAUAAACUUAUACCAAUUUUAUGCCACUAUAUUUGUUGGGGUUGUUUGUGGUAGCAGCUAGAGUUAUCUUAACCAAUAUGUGUGUGCAUUGAAUUGAUCUAUUAUCCCUGGAACAUGUGUCUGGCUUUUGCACGUACUUUUCCUUAGAAUUCUCAUUCUCUCCUUCCAAUUAUUCACAUCCUAAAAAUUAUUCAAGGCCUAAACCAAGUCCAUUCACUUCCAAGCAGCUCUCUUUCACACCCAUCAGCCACAGUGAUAUCUCUUUCCCCCAAUUCCUAUAGCACUUUCUUGUCUAUGCCUUUCAUGUGCCCUUGUCGUAGCUUCAAUUUUGGAUGUCUUGUUUUCCCAGGGAGGUUGUAAGCUCUUAAAGGUUUAAGAUCAUGUUUUUAUGCUUCUUGUAUGUCUCUGAAGUAUGUAAUAUGGUAUUGUGCCUUGGGAAUUUUCAAUAAAUAUUUGUGGGAAAAAUGAAUUUAUAAAUGUAUUAGGCUCAAUAAAAUCUAUUUUCCUAAAAACAGUCCUU